rnacentral:lncRNA from 1 species
GAGAGGAGGCAGAGGCUGGGAAUGGGAGCAGUAAGCUGUCGGCAGGGGCAGCACACCCAGCAGGGGGAACACACCCGGGUGGCUGUCCCUCACAAGCAGGGUGGCAACAUCCGGGGUCCCUGGGCCCGAGGCUGGAAGAGCCUCUGGACAGGUUUGGGAACCAUCAGGUCAGAUCUGGAAGAACUCUGGGAACUACGGGGGCACCACUAUCUGCACCAGGAAUCCCUAAAGCCAGCCCCAGUACUGGUAGAGAAGCCUCUGCCAGAGUGGCCAGUGCCUCAGUUCAUCAACCUCUUUCUACCAGAGUUUCCCAUUAGGCCCAUUAGGGGGCAGCAGCAGCUGAAGAUUUUAGGCCUCGUGGCUAAAGGCUCCUUUGGAACUGUCCUCAAGGUGCUAGAUUGCACCCAGAAAGCUGUAUUUGCAGUGAAGGUGGUGCCCAAGGUAAAGGUCCUACAGAGGGAUACCGUGAGGCAGUGCAAAGAGGAGGUUAGCAUCCAGGUAUGCACAGAGUCCUGGAAAGGAUUGUGGGAAGAGCUAGGCCACAGGUAGGGAAAGUACCUUUCUUGCCCACCUUCUUUUCCUGGUUCUGCCUCAUCCA